GCACUUCUGGAGCCCAGGUUGGGGGCUGCACCUGUUCAGGAGUAGGCUGGAAACUUGGGCCUGCCCUCAGGCGGCGCUCACUCAAGCCCAGCGUCAGUGCUGCGCAGCCCCGAGGGACGGGCGCGCCAGCCCCAGGGAACCGAGUUUUCUCCUGCGAGCCAGGACACGUUCGCGCCAGAAAGCCGAUUCGCCGAAACCCUCAGCACCGGGAAGCCACUGGAACGAUGGGGUAGAAAAGAUCGCGAUCUCCACUUAGCACGGGUAUUGACCACAUCGGGGAAACGUGUUUCACGUCCGCGGGCACGUCUCCUGGGUUGUCGAGUAAAAUGCGCUUCUGGUGCCAGGGAUUUUCAAGAUGGAAAGCCUCUGCGGAGAGGUUGGCAGUAAGCCUAGAACUGGUAGGGAUAGAGCGCGGAAAGGGACAGGACUCCACAGGCGGAUUUGAAAAGGAGCAACAACUGAGCCAGAGGACAGCACUGCCCUCUGUCCGGUUGAGGUCUGCUGUUGUCACCACCUUACCCUAAACAAUUUGGUGGCAGAGGCCAGAGCAAAGGGCACUUCUGACAGCUUUGGGGACACCAAGAAACAGGCAUAAAACUCUGCAAACACUGAGUUUACUGUCUUUCUCACCAUUUCCAAGGGCCAUGGGUACCUCUGUGAAAAAGGAAGAGAGAUCCACAUCACCCAUAAUGCCUGAACUGAAAAGUAGGAAUACAAGCAUUUAUUUUUAUAGAGGUGAGCCAAAGAACCUAGAAGGAAGACGGAAAAAUUUUCUUCCCCUGCACAUGGCACUUGAAGCCCUAAGUCACGUGGCUCCUGCUUGCCUUCAGUGUCCUCUCCUGACCUUCUCUGGUAUGGUAAUAGUUUAUUUCUAGACCAAGGGUCAGCCAACUUUUUCUAUAAAGGGCCAAAUAGUAAACAUUUUAGAUUCUGCAGCCUGUGGAGUCUUUGUUUCAACUAUUCAACUCUCUGAAAGCAGCCGCGAAUAAUAUGUAAAUAAACAAGUAUGGCUGUAUUUUUUCCAAUUAAAUGCUCUUUAAUGAACAUUAGAAUCUUAUAUUUUUCAUGUGUCAUGACAUUAUUUUUGUAAAUUUAUUCCCAACCAUUUAAAAAUGUAAAAAGCAUUCUAUAGAAUGGUUGCAGAGAAACAGGCCGUGGAUUUGGAGGCUUGUGGGCUCUGACCUCUGCUCCAGCUGUAGGGAAGGCCCUGUAAUUCUCUAAGUGUUCUAGAUGGUUUCUUGGCCCAUGCCCUCAUUCAUGCUGUUUCUCUCUCUGAACAGCUUUUCCCCUUUAUGCCUGGCUUUCUCCCAUUUAACCAUCAGGACUCACUACAGGCUCCACUUUCUUGGGGGGAAGCAAGUCUUUUCUGACCCCAACAGGUACAGGUAAGUGCCUAUCUUUUGGGCUCCUAUAUCACCCUACGCAUAUCUUUAUUAUGACACUUACCCACGUUGUAUUACACGUUCUAUCGUAUGUCUGCUCCUGCCAUUCCUCCACUAAAACACUGUAUUUGAGUCAUCUUUGUAUCCCUAAUACUUAGCACAGUGCCUGGCCUCUAAUAGGUAAUCAAGAACAUUUGUUGAACUGCAUCAAGAAAUCUAUAAGAUGGUACACUGCUGAUUGAUUUUGUCUAAAUAGAAGAGGAUCCCAUGUAUCAUAUAUAUAUAAAUGAUUAUAACACUA